rnacentral:rRNA from 1 species
UACAGAGGUCCCAAGCGUUGUUCGGAUUCAUUGGGCGUAAAGGGUGCGUAGGUGGCGCCGUAAGUCGGGUGUGAAAUUUCGGAGCUUAACUCCGAAACUGCAUUCGAUACUGCGGUGCUUGAGGACUGGAGAGGAGACUGGAAUUCAUGGUGUAGCAGUGAAAUGCGUAGAGAUCAUGAGGAAGACCAGUGGCGAAGGCGGGUCUCUGGACAGUUCCUGACACUGAGACACGAAGGCCAGGGGAGCGAACGGG